UGCAUCCAUCCAAUUCGUGAAGGAAAAAACAGAAAGCAAUUCCAUCUCCUGUUUCAUCCUGUACCCAGACUUCAUCCCCGACCUCGACACGCCUCCUUCACUCGGCUUUCCCUCGACGACCCGGCGAUGGCGACUAUGGUUUCGUAGUUAUUCCCCUUCCAUAGCCCACGCCGCCGGAUCCAGAAGAGAAGCCGGCCAUCUUCUUUCUCCUCCGCUCCGUGCGACGGAUCGAGUCCUCACCCGUGGGAUUGAGUCUCACCAAGCCGCCGCCGCUCCGCCUGCUGCUGGCAAGGCUGCUGCUGCCGUCCAAUCGAAUGGUCCGCACCAAGCUUUGUGGCCCGCCACACCUGCUUAUUGAUCUAGAUCAAGAAAAAGCAGGGAGGCAGCUUGGUAUAUGCACAAGACUGUCAUGAAUUGGGACUCAAUCAGAUUGGUAUAUGGUCGAGACCAUGCAACCGGUGAUGCAGCAAAGACCCCAGUUGAUGGUGCAAAAGAGAUGAGUAACAAGGAAGAUGGUACCAGCAAAGAGCUUACUUCAUCAUCAACUUCCGCAAGCUUAAAGAGGCAGCAUGUAGAGCUGUAAUUCUUGUUUCAGGAUGUGUCAUUGUUGCUGUUUUGAGCGUGUGUUGCUGUCAUUUUGAGCGUGUAUGUGUGGUGUUGUGUUUCCCAUGUGCAGGCAGACAGAUGAGAGGCGAGAAAAUUUAGAGAGGGGAGAGAGCUUGCCUGUGUACAGAAGCAAAUUCUAUGUUUGAAGACACCCAAACAACAUUUAGAAUUCAAUUCUAGGAAAAAGAUUCUAUGUUUACCCAAACAGAAAAAUUGAUUUGAAUUAGAUUCCAAGCAAUUCAUUUCC